rnacentral:rRNA from 1 species
CACGGGGGGAGCAAGCGUUGUUCGGAAUCACUGGGCGUAAAGGGCGUGUAGGCGGUCAUGUAAGUGGGAUGUGAAAGCCCUCGGCUCACCCGAGGAUCUGCAUCUCAAACUGCAUGGCUUGAGUAUGGGAGAGGAUGAGGGAAUUCCUGGUGUAGCGGUGAAAUGCGUAGAUAUCAGGAGGAACACCGGUGGCGAAGGCGGCAUCCUGGACCAAUAUUGACGCUGAGGAGCGAAAGCUAGGGGAGCAAACGGG